AUUGAACGCUGGCGGCAGGCUUAACACAUGCAAGUCGAGCGAGUGGCGGACGGGUGAGUAAUGUCUGGGAAACUGCCCGAUGGAGGGGGAUAACUACUGGAAACGGUAGCUAAUACCGCAUACCAUCGGAUGUGCCCAGAUGGGAUGAGCUAGUAGGUGGGGUAACGGCUCACCUAGGCGACGAUCCCUAGCUGGUCUGAGAGGAUGACCAGCCACACGGGAAAUGAGACACGGUCCAGACUCCAACGGGAGGCAGCAGUGGGGAAUAUGGCACAAUGGGCGCAAGCUUGAUGCAGCCAUGCGGGGUGUAGGAAGAAGGCCUUCGGGUUGUAAAGUACUUUCAGCGAGGAGGCGUUACUCGCAGAAGAAGCACCGGCUAACUCCGUGCCAGCAGCCGCGGUAAUAC
rnacentral:rRNA from 1 species